rnacentral:lncRNA from 8 species
AUGCGUUGCUGUUCUCCAUUUUGCUCUAUGACCCCCCCCCCCCCCCCCCCACAAGUGUCAACGACUCGUCUGAAGUCGGUACCGCUGAUCUGCCAAGCUCUGUGUGUAGCGUUCGAACUGUUUGGGUUAUACACUGAUAUGAGACUCUCACGAACACAAAUAUGUUGGUUGUUUUGCUCUAGAAGUACUUCAGUGCCCAAGAUUAUGGGGGAAAUAUGGGUAAUAAAAAUAAACAUUUACUGUAUCAGAUAUAGACGUCAAGACCUUAUGCCUUUGGAUUUAUUUAUUUAUUCAAUGCAUUUAUAUUGGCUAAUAGACAUUUGGGAAAAAUACCUUCCUCUCUUCGACUCCUCUGUCCUCUCCUCCGUGACCCGGAAACCGUUAACUGGUCGAGGAAAGUGUCAAUUAGUUUGUAGGGGAAUUGAAGUGUGUCCUCCCCUCCCAGAGUAUCCUCCCCUCCCAGAGUAUCCUCCCCUCCCAGAGUAUCCCCCCCUCCCAGAGUAUCCUCCCCUCCCAGAGUAUCCUCCCCUCCCAGAGUAUCCUCCCCUCCCAGAGUAUCCUCCCCUCCCAGAGUGUCCUCCCCUCCCAGAGUAUCCUCCCCUCCCAGAGUAUCCUCCCCUCCCAGAGUGUCCUCCCCAGAGUAUCCUCCCCUCCCAGAGUACCCUCCCAGAGUAUCCUCCCCUCCCAGAGUAUCCUCCCCUCCCAGAGUAUCCUCCCAGAGUAUCCUCCCCUCCCAGAGUACCCUCCCAGAGUAUCCUCCCCUCCCAGAGUAUCCUCCCCUCCCAGAGUACCCUCCCAGAGUAUCCUCCCCUCCCAGAGUGUCCUCCCCUCCCAGAGUAUCCUCCCCUCCCAGAGUGUCCUCCCCUCCCAGAGUAUCCUCCCCUCCCAGAGUAUCCUCCCAGAGUAUCCUCCCCUCCCAGAGUAUCCCUCCCAGAGUAUCCUCCCAGAGUAUCCUCCCCUCCCAGAGUAUCCUCCCCUUCCAGAGUAUCCUCCCCUUCCAGAGUAUCUUCCCCUCCCAGAGUAUCCUCCCCUAGUGUCCUCCCCUUCCAGAGGAUCCUCCCUGAGUGUCCUCCCCUCUUCGAUAGCCUCCUUUCACCUAGGAUAGUCCUUUGUGGAAGAGUUGUAAUAUAUGCCACACCCACUUUGAAUCUGCUGUUGUUUUAUCAGAGGAGAAGAAAAGCAAGCAGACAUUUAAAAACAUGCUACUCAUCGUUUAACAUGUAUUUCUACCACUUUACACAUAUAUUUUGGAUUCCUCCUCUGUAA